rnacentral:rRNA from 1 species
CUACGGGGGGCUGCAGUAAGGAAUAUUGCGCAAUGGAGGCAACUCUGACGCAGCCAUGCCGCGUGCAGGAAGAAGGCCUUAUGGGUCGUAAACUGCUUUUAUUUAGGAAUAAACCCCCGAACGUGUUCGGGGCUGAAGGUACUAAACGAAUAAGCACCGGCUAACUCCGUGCCAGCAGCCGCGGUAAUACGGAGGGUGCAAGCGUUAUCCGGAUUUAUUGGGUUUAAAGGGUGCGCAGGCGGGCUAUUAAGUCAGUGGUGAAAUCCCGGGGCUCAACUCCGGAACUGCCAUUGAUACUGAUAGUCUGGAGUUUGGUUGAAGUGGGCGGAAUGUAGCAUGUAGCGGUGAAAUGCAUAGAUAUGCCACAGAACACCAAUCGCGAAGGCAGCUCACUAAGCCAAAACUGACGCUCAUGCACGAAAGCGUGGGGAUCAAACAGGAUUAGAUACCUAGUAGUC